AGGUGACAUUACCGUGUUUUCUUUCUGCAGCUCCAGUGGUGCCUGUAUUUGACCUUGCUUGGGGUCUGACCAGUGUGGGAGUCUGUCUGGAGCAGGCACCGUGGUGACCUCUGCCCGGGGUGCCCUCAAAAACUGGAAGCAGGCUUGCUAACACCCCACUUAUCAGCACUGUUCCCAUCAGACUGCCCUGCUCUACAGCCUGUCCUUCAGAAGUGAAACGAGAUGCUGGGCUGGUGCUGAGCGUAACAAAGCAGCAGCUCCAGGCCUCUGACAAUCUACAGGGGAAACACCAAACAUGUCGCAGCCGUUCUGGCACAGUGGCCAGAUCUGAAAACAGUAUUCCAGAUCGCUUCUACAUCUCCACAUCAUCAGGGCACAGCAGAUGUGGAGCAGAUGCAGUGGAGAUCAGUAUGUAAUAUGGGCAUGGACGCAAGCAACCCAGAGUUGGCGCUCAAGAGCAAGCUGGUCACUUCACUGAGAGGUUGAGAAAUGCUUUGCUACUGCCAGCUUGUAAGGGUUAUAACGAGUUAGAAGUCCUUCCCUGUCAGCUCGCAGCCACCUGAGUCCUGUGAACAAAAUUGAGGGGUGUUAGAGAAGAGUGGGCAGGUUGAUGAAGUAGAGAGCUUGAAGGUGGCAACAGUUAGUUGAGUCCAGAUGACAAGGAACUGAUCGUUAAACCAACAAAGCUGGCAGCACCAUCUUAUUUAAGGCUAUUUCAGGUCAUCUUUAAAACAAAGAGCAGUGGCCAGCUGCAAAAAGAACUGUUGAAAAGUCACAGUAGGAGAGCAGAAGAAACCCAUGGUAGUCCCGCAGGAAGAAUGGAGAAUAAUGCCUACAAACUGGCAUCUCGGGGUCGACCUGUGCAUGGCUGUGGCUCUGUGUCUGGAGAGACCGGGGAAGAGGGGAUGUUUCUCUGAUGUCUAGUUAGGUGGAAGGUUGGCAGAAGUAUUGGCAGGUCCUUCAAUUUCUAUCCAGUUAGUUAUUCUUGCUAUUCCUCUCACACUUACUGAAGUGUGACAGUGGCUUCAGAUGCUGCUGCUGGGAAUGAACUGACACAUACAUAUGCAUGCAACGUAUAACAUGAGCCUCCUUCCUCUACAAAUUCAGCCUAAAAAAAACCCCAAACAACCCUUUAUUUAUUUGAUAACUACUGCAACCUGGGCAGCUGUUCCUCAGUAGAGGAGGGGGGUUGAGGAGAAAGAGAGAGAGAUGGUGCAGGGCUCUUUCUGGAAUUCAGUAAGAAAGGCCCAGUAACAAAAAGCGUAAUGACUGCUUUAAUAAGACAGAAUAAGAUGAGGAAUACCAACAGCAAGUAAAUGUUCCAUCCCUUCAGAUGCUGGGCACCCUCAUAUUCAUGUAGCAUAGGCCAGAGCCCAGAUGGAUUUUCCCACGGUGUGCUGUGCAAAGCAGAUGCAACCCCGUCCACGGAGAGCAGCUCUCCCUUUUCAUCACUUGAGCUAAUUUUAUCGAUUCCUUACAAGAAAACAACACUCCUCCUAAAGGAUGUUCUCAUGAGAACUUGUUAGAUAAAGGCACGGCCAGGCAGGUGGUGCAAUCGCGGCCUGAAGCUGCUGUGUGGAUCACUGACUCUUGGACGCUCAAGGGUCCCUCGGGCAGGAUCAGUAGAGCAGCUGAGGGAAAGCCUCCUCCCGUCUGAUUUCUCAGCCUCGGAGAACUGCUUGGCACAGGAACUUGAGACUUUGAAACUGCUGGCUCCACGGUGAAGUGCUUUCAAAACUGACACAGGGCUGGAGCCGGCCACGGGCAUGGGUUGGCAUUGCUUUGGUACCACCAGUCAAACAUUUGAAGGCCGUUGACUUUGCAAACACUUUCAAGCUGUGAACAAUGUAGCCAAAACCUGCAGCUGUGGGGCACAGGUUUCUUCAGAGUUGGGUAAGAGCCUUAGGACUUAACGAGCAAGUCAGACCCAGGAGGGCUCUGGGUAGCUGUUUUGUCAUUGUAACAUCGUGAAAAAGAUGGAAGGAACUCAAACCAGUAAUGUUCAGUGUGGUUUGCAUUCGAUUCCCUCUGAACUGGGAACCAGGUGUCAACAAGUUGUAAAGUGUAAAGCAAAACUUUCCGAGCAUGCUCUGCUCCCUUUAUAUAGGGGCACUCCAGGGCACUGCAGGCUUCAGUAGUAACCGGCUUCUGGCUGCCUCGCCACAUGGUGAGUACUCACCUCCAACCUCGGAUUUGCUCCCUCUGGUUUCCACAGGAUGCCCUGUGCUGCAGCUCCUGGCCAGGCUUUUAAGGAGAUGUGGCUUAGUUUGGUUUUUCAAGUGCAAGAAACUUAUACUGGGUGUGGGGAUGUAGCUAAUCCAGAGUUAGUGUUCUUCCUACAGUCUGUCUGCGAACUGAGUGUGUGGAAGGGGGCAGGGUAGUGGCUGAAUUGCCUAGGUUUCAUGAUCUCGGCCCGUAAAAGCACUAUGUAUGUGAAUGCAGCUUUAGUCUUUGAAAUUCAACUCAGUUUUGUUUGUUAGUUUUGGUUUAUUCAAUUUUGGGUGCAUUCUUCUAAGAUAAGCGAUGGACAAGCACUUGUAAGUUGCUCAAGGAAUGUUUCAUUGUCAGUCCUGAUCUAGAUGAGCUUGAUCCCCAAGUAAAACCAUUUUAUACAUGCCUACUGGGGCAAGAGCAUUAGGAUAUGGUAAAUGAGGUAACAUGAAGGACAUAAGCAUUAGUAUCUAAUACAGCCUUUUGUGUGUGAAGAUACAUUGUGUUUGUAAGAGUGUAUUUGUAUCUCCUGAUGGGAUAGAGUCCUUAUAAAUUAGGUUGAGUAAUCUUUAAGCAUCAAGGGUUUGUGAAAUACACCAUUCUACUUUGCCAUUUACAUACGUGUAUAAUGGGAAGCCUCAACUUAAAACUUUGGAUAGUGUUCCGUGUGCUGUUCUGAAAGCUGUCUGGCCAGUGCCUGAUUUACUCACAACUGGUAUGUUGUCCUACAGAAUAUAGCUAAGUCAAAGCAAAAUCUAAAAGAGAAGUAAAAUAAAUCCAAGAUGAAUGUUUUACCCAACUCGGAACAGACUACAUCCAAGCAUUGGACUGCCUAAUUGUAGUUGAGCUUAAAUGUUCGCUUGAUUUAAACAUAGGGGCUGUAAAUUAAAUUGAGGAAAAAAUCUUGUAAAAUGUACAUAAAGGUCAGUGAUUGUGGGAAUUAAAUACUUUAUUUCUUUAGCUGCUUUUGAAAUUUGAAUAUGAAUUACAACAGCUCAUCUUUAAUGCAAAUUUCCCUGUCUACCUCACGUAUUAAGUAGUGACUUCAUGAUCUGGAAUACAUUAGAAAAACCCUCAGCAUGUAAACUACACAGUAUUUUCUAAAUUCAGAGUUUGGCAUGUGAUUAGGCCAUCUGAAGUAGCAGACCACAACUGAAAAAUGUUCUAUAACUAGACUUGCAGAAACAGAACUGCAGUUAAAAGUUAGCCAUGUAAACUCUUGAGUAAAUCAAAGUCUGUGUAAAAUGUGUUGCUAUAGGUGAGCAGGUGGAGGAGGGGAGAAGGAUGGAGAAGGAAGAGGGGAAAAAAAGUAACCCCACAUUAAAAUGAAAAAAAACCAAUCCAGACAGAGCCCAGAAAUGAAAGCACACAAUAACCAGCCAUCUGCAUAUAGAGGUCAAAACAAAUGAGAAACUGCAUGCUCCAUUUGGAGGUACAUCUUCCUUCUUUUAAAAAAAGUCACUUACAGAAGAGCAAGUUGGUGAUUUGUAUCCUGGACCCUUCUCAACCCUUAUCAUAAAAUGAUAAAUUAUUGAAUCAUAUUAUAAAGUAGCAUCUCUCUUUCUGUGUUCUGUAGUGGCUUCUGAAGUGUUUAAUGUGAAAAGGUGAACUACUGGUUGCAAAAUAAUUUAGAAUUAUUCUUUGAUCUUAAAAAAAAAAAAAAAAUUUACAACCCACAUUCUCUUCCCGGGAUAACUGAAAUGUUACUAUUCCUAACUUAUAUCUUUGUCCUGAGGAACAAGAAAACACUCAGAGUAUCUGGAUGUUGUGCAGUAACACUAAGACUAAGAAAUAUCUGAAAGCUCA